AAAAUGUUUUCCAAUUGGGGUCAUUACAAAAAAGUAAUUAACUCAAUACAUAUUUAAUGAGAUUCAUUAUAUUUGAUAUAUUAUCUUCAAACAGCAUUGCACCCUCUGUAUUCCAAUCAAUCUGAGCCUCUUUCUGUUUAUUACAUGUCCCACACUCUGAUUUACACACCCUUACAUGUACUUCUGGGAUGCUUUUCCUACCAUUUUUUCUGCUGAGUUGAGAUUUACCUUCAGCUCUUGGGUUACACUUAUCUUCCCCUAGGAUAUUUGCCUGAAAUCAGGUUAUUUUCCUGUUCUGUACAGAAAGAGUCCAUUCAUUGACCUCCUUUAAUAGAAAGCACUUAUCACAAUCUUUGCUCAGAGACUAGGAGCUCCUUGUGGGAAGGGAUCAUGUCUAUCUUUUCCUUCUCUGAGCCCGUGGACUGAACAUAAUGUAGGUUUUUUUUUUAAAUAUUUCUAGUCAUAAUUAAAUAUAAAACAUUAGUGAUGGGCAAUAAUCAAAUAUGAAACCAUAAAUGGAAUUUCUGCUUAUUCAACAAGGGUUAAAUCUGGAUGGAAGAAAAUAGUUUAUAAACUAUUUUUACUGAGUGGAACAUGAUGGAGAUUUAUUAAAAAUUCCACGAACAUCAAUAUUUUCAGAUUCAAAUGAGCUAUGGGAAAGCUGCAAUCUAAAAGCUAUGUGUUAAGGAAAAGUUUCCUUGCUCACAAUAGGACCCACACAGGAAGGGUCAGGCCUUUAUUUUCUAUUGAAUGUUAUGUCCAGAUGGUACCCAGGCCUAUGG
rnacentral:lncRNA from 1 species